rnacentral:tRNA from 1 species
CAGGAAAUAGCAUAUAUAGAAGUGUGUUUUGUUUACACCAAAAAAGAGGGUUAACCCUUUUCUGU